GACGAACCGUGCGAACGUUAUUCGGAAUCACUGGGCUUAAAGGGCGCGUAGGCGGCGGGGUAAGUCGGGUGUGAAAUCUCAGAGCUCAACUCUGAAAUGGCACUUGAUACUGCUCUGCUAGAGGACUGGAGAGGAGAUUGGAAUUCACGGUGUAGCAGUGAAAUGCGUAGAUAUCGUGAGGAACACCGGUGGCGAAGGCGGGUCUCUGGGCCGAAAUUGACGCUGAGGAGCGAAAGCGUGGGGAGCAAACAGG
rnacentral:rRNA from 1 species